rnacentral:rRNA from 1 species
UACGUAGGGUGCAAGCGUUGUCCGGAAUUAUUGGGCGUAAAGAGCUCGUAGGCGGCUUGUCACGUCGGAUGUGAAAUCCCGAGGCUCAACCUCGGGCCUGCAUUCGAUACGGGCUAGCUAGAGUACUGCAGGGGAGACUGGAAUUCCUGGUGUAGCGGUGAAAUGCGCAGAUAUCAGGAGGAACACCAAUGGCGAAGGCAGCUCGCUGGAACGGUACUGACGCUGAGGCGCGAAAGCGUGGGGAGCGAACAGG